rnacentral:rRNA from 1 species
GACGAACGCUGGCGGCAUGCCUAAUACAUGCAAGUCGAGCGAACAGAUGAAGUGCUUGCACUUCUGACGCUAGCGGCGAACGGGUGAGUAACACGUAAGGAAUCUACCUAUAAGCGGGGGAUAACAUUCGGAAACGGGUGCUAAUACCGCAUAAUAUCUUCUUCCGCAUGGAAGAAGAUUGAAAGACGGCUCCGCUGUCACUUAUAGAUGACCUUGCGGUGCAUUAGUUAGUUGGUGGGGUAAUGGCCUACCAAGAGGAUGAUGCAUAGCCGACCUGAGAGGGUGAUCGGCCACAUUGGGACUGAGACACGGCCCAAACUCCUACGGGAGGCAGCAGUAGGGAAUCUUCCGCAAUGGGCGAAAGCCUGACGGAGCAAUGCCGCGUGAGUGAAGAAGGCCUUCGGGUCGUAAAACUCUGUUAUAAGAGAAGAACAAAUUGUAGAGUAACUGCUACAGUCUUGACGGUAUCUUAUCAGAAAGCCACGGCUAACUACGUGCCAGCCGCCGCCGUAA